rnacentral:rRNA from 1 species
UACGUAGGGGGGCGAGCGUUGUCCGGAUUCAUUGGGCGUAAAGCGCGUGUAGGCGGCUUUGCAAGUCGGGUGUGAAAGCCCUCAGCUCAACUGAGGAAGUGCGCCCGAAACUGCAGAGCUUGAGUGCCGGAGAGGGUGGCGGAAUUCCCCAAGUAGAGGUGAAAUUCGUAGAUAUGGGGAGGAACACCGGUGGCGAAGGCGGCCACCUGGACGGUAACUGACGCUGAGACGCGAAAGCGUGGGGAGCAAACAGG